rnacentral:rRNA from 1 species
GGGUUGUGAGGUUAAGCGACUAAGCGUACACGGUGGAUGCCCUGGCAGUCAGAGGCGAUGAAGGACGUGCUAAUCUGCGAUAAGCGUCGGUAAGGUGAUAUGAACCGUUAUAACCGGCGAUUUCCGAAUGGGGAAACCCAGUGUGAUUCGUCACACUAUCAUUAACUGAAUCCAUAGGUUAAUGAGGCGAACCGGGGGAACUGAAACAUCUAAGUACCCCGAGGAAAAGAAAUCAACCGAGAUUCCCCCAGUAGCGGCGAGCGAACGGGGAGCAGCCCAGAGCCUGAAUCAGUGUGUGUGUUAGUGGAAGCGUCUGGAAAGGCGUGCGAUACAGGGUGACAGCCCCGUACACAAAAAUGCACAUGCUGUGAGCUCGAUGAGUAGGGCGGGACACGUGGUAUCCUGUCUGAAUAUGGGGGGACCAUCCUCCAAGGCUAAAUACUCCUGACUGACCGAUAGUGAACCAGUACCGUGAGGGAAAGGCGAAAAGAACCCCGGCGAGGGGAGUGAAAAAGAACCUGAAACCGUGUACGUACAAGCAGUGGGAGCACGCUUAGGCGUGUGACUGCGUACCUUUUGUAUAAUGGGUCAGCGACUUAUAUUCUGUAGCAAGGUUAACCGAAUAGGGGAGCCGAAGGGAAACCGAGUCUUAACUGGGCGUUAAGUUGCAGGGUAUAGACCCGAAACCCGGUGAUCUAGCCAUGGGCAGGUUGAAGGUUGGGUAACACUAACUGGAGGACCGAACCGACUAAUGUUGAAAAAUUAGCGGAUGACUUGUGGCUGGGGGUGAAAGGCCAAUCAAACCGGGAGAUAGCUGGUUCUCCCCGAAAGCUAUUUAGGUAGCGCCUCGUGAAUUCAUCUCCGGGGGUAGAGCACUGUUUCGGCAAGGGGGUCAUCCCGACUUACCAACCCGAUGCAAACUGCGAAUACCGGAGAAUGUUAUCACGGGAGACACACGGCGGGUGCUAACGUCCGUCGUGAAGAGGGAAACAACCCAGACCGCCAGCUAAGGUCCCAAAGUCAUGGUUAAGUGGGAAACGAUGUGGGAAGGCCCAGACAGCCAGGAUGUUGGCUUAGAAGCAGCCAUCAUUUAAAGAAAGCGUAAUAGCUCACUGGUCGAGUCGGCCUGCGCGGAAGAUGUAACGGGGCUAAACCAUGCACCGAAGCUGCGGCAGCGACGCUUAUGCGUUGUUGGGUAGGGGAGCGUUCUGUAAGCCUGUGAAGGUGUACUGUGAGGUAUGCUGGAGGUAUCAGAAGUGCGAAUGCUGACAUAAGUAACGAUAAAGCGGGUGAAAAGCCCGCUCGCCGGAAGACCAAGGGUUCCUGUCCAACGUUAAUCGGGGCAGGGUGAGUCGACCCCUAAGGCGAGGCCGAAAGGCGUAGUCGAUGGGAAACAGGUUAAUAUUCCUGUACUUGGUGUUACUGCGAAGGGGGGACGGAGAAGGCUAUGUUGGCCGGGCGACGGUUGUCCCGGUUUAAGCGUGUAGGCUGGUUUUCCAGGCAAAUCCGGAAAAUCAAGGCUGAGGCGUGAUGACGAGGCACUACGGUGCUGAAGCAACAAAUGCCCUGCUUCCAGGAAAAGCCUCUAAGCAUCAGGUAACAUCAAAUCGUACCCCAAACCGACACAGGUGGUCAGGUAGAGAAUACCAAGGCGCUUGAGAGAACUCGGGUGAAGGAACUAGGCAAAAUGGUGCCGUAACUUCGGGAGAAGGCACGCUGAUAUGUAGGUGAAGCGACUUGCUCGUGGAGCUGAAAUCAGUCGAAGAUACCAGCUGGCUGCAACUGUUUAUUAAAAACACAGCACUGUGCAAACACGAAAGUGGACGUAUACGGUGUGACGCCUGCCCGGUGCCGGAAGGUUAAUUGAUGGGGUCAGCGCAAGCGAAGCUCUUGAUCGAAGCCCCGGUAAACGGCGGCCGUAACUAUAACGGUCCUAAGGUAGCGAAAUUCCUUGUCGGGUAAGUUCCGACCUGCACGAAUGGCGUAAUGAUGGCCAGGCUGUCUCCACCCGAGACUCAGUGAAAUUGAACUCGCUGUGAAGAUGCAGUGUACCCGCGGCAAGACGGAAAGACCCCGUGAACCUUUACUAUAGCUUGACACUGAACAUUGAGCCUUGAUG